CGGGGUAAACCAGGUUUUGUAGCCGUGUGGCGAGGAUGAGUCUUGAAGACUGAGGCACACGAAUGAAGAAAAAGGGAAAUAAAUGUUUGGGGGCGUAAUCCAGCCAUCCAAUCCAGACAGCCAGAUCCAAUGAAAACAAAUGACUUUCCAAUGAGCGCACAGCGUCGUUAAACCUCGUUGGAGUGGUGCUCCUGUGGAUCAGCACUGUCAGCCCUCCUACCAUUGAUGAAUGAAGUGAUGGAAUGUCUCAAAUUAAGAAAUUAAAGGGUUUAAAAUGUCUUUAAUUGGUUGGGUGAAAAUCAAAACAGCAGUUGUACAGUGAUUCAAACACACAUCAACAUACAAUAAACCAAAUAUACAGCUGUCCUUUUACACCUGUCCCUGAUCAAUGAAAAAAUAGUGCAAUAGGCCUAUAGUCAGAUCUCAUUGCUGUGAUUCAUUUGUCAUAUUUACACAUUUCUCUCCCACAUCAUCAUUAUAUUGUUACAAUUCAUUCAGUGAUUAAUCAAUAAUUUUCCUGUAUGUAUCCCUCUCACCUUUGCAAUCCCAAAAGCAUUACAUCCUGAAGUAAAUAUGUAUUUAGGUAUAAGAACUGAAUGAGUGACACCACUGGACACCCAAAAAUAGAACUAAGAUGAUCUGAACUCCAUACUCACACGUUAGCUUGCAACUAAACAAAACAGCAAGAACACAAGGUAAUCUAUAUAAGACUUUCAUUCAAUAAGCUCACAAUGAAGCAUAAAACCAAACUGUAACAAAGGAGAGUAAUGUAACUAGGGUAUAAAAUAGGCUACAGAACCAAGGCUAAAAUAACAGUCCCAUAGAAAAGCAUUUUCGUGUGACUUAUAAUAUUGCAUUUAUCUAUUUAUCUGCCUAAUACUGAUGGGAUUAUAUUUUUGGCAUUAUUUGUUAUUUGGAGAUACAUUUUAAUUGUCAUAUUAAUAGUGUAGAAUAUUAGGCUACCUACCAUUAAAAAGGUUUGAAUGCUUACCCGAGACCUUCAUUUUAGCUUGGCACACAAACAUACCCAAUUGCAAUGAGGUUUCAGGA